rfam:Danio rerio chromosome 7, GRCz11 reference primary assembly.
AAAAAUAGCCAUAUCACUCUGCAACCCAAGACCAGUUACUCACUGAAGCUAAGCAAGACUGAAACUGGUUAGUACCUGGAUGGGAGACCACAUGGGAAAACAAGGUUGCUGUUAGAA